rnacentral:rRNA from 1 species
AACGAACGCUGGCGGCAUGCCUAACACAUGCAAGUCGAGCGAGACCUUCGGGUCUAGUGGCGCACGGGUGCGUAACGCGUGGGAACCUGCCCUUAGGUUCGGAAUAACUCAGAGAAAUUUGAGCUAAUACCGGAUAAUGUCUUCGGACCAAAGAUUUAUCGCCUUUGGAUGGGCCCGCGUAGGAUUAGCUUGUUGGUGGGGUAAUGGCCUACCAAGGCGACGAUCCUUAGCUGGUCUGAGAGGAUGAUCAGCCACACUGGGACUGAGACACGGCCCAGACUCCUACGGGAGGCAGCAGUGGGGAAUAUUGGACAAUGGGCGAAAGCCUGAUCCAGCAAUGCCGCGUGAGUGAUGAAGGCCUUAGGGUUGUAAAGCUCUUUUACCAGGGAUGAUAAUGACAGUACCUGGAGAAUAAGCUCCGGCUAACUCCGUG